rnacentral:rRNA from 1 species
CACGUAGGGGGCAAGCGUUGUCCGGAUUUAUUGGGCGUAAAGAGCGUGUAGGCGGCUAUACAGGUCCGCUGUGAAAACUCGAGGCUCAACCUCGAGACGUCGGUGGAAACCGUAUGGCUAGAGUCCGGAAGAGGAGAGUGGAAUUCCUGGUGUAGCGGUGAAAUGCGCAGAUAUCAGGAAGAACACCCGUGGCGAAGGCGGCUCUCUGGGACGGUACUGACGCUGAGACGCGAAAGCGUGGGGAGCGAACAGG